UUAAGCUCAUACAUACGGGCUCUAAGUCGAUUGGAGGGUAGUUGAAGGUAGUUUCUAAAAGUAGAAGGAGAAUUCUGGAAUUUCAUAAGGAAUAGAGAUGUGAAUGUAAUUUAUCAAAACAUUAGCUCCACAGCUGAUGCUGAUAGCUCCGAUCUCCUGCUUCUCAAGACGAAAACUGCUGAACUGAGAGAAGAUUAGAAGAAGAUACAGAGAAGAUGUUCAGGAGAAGAUUCCUGUCGUUUCCGCUGGUAAUUGGCGCAGUUAUAAUUGGAGUUGUCUCUGGGAAAGCUAUAUUUGCGCAACCACUUGAUGAAUAUUGGAAGAAGAAACUUCAGGAGGAGCCAGCCGCAAAAGAAAAUGAUGUAAGCACUUCAUAGUGUUUGAUCAGAGGCAUAUCUGACCUUAAUAUCAUAGUAUUUUUCUGUUGGCAGUUACUCCUUAGAAAUGCUUUGUGCAGACACAUCCUCAUCCAAAUAGCUUAGUACACGAUGCUUUGGAAAUUUCAUCCUUCAGUUGCUUGUAUGAGACUGCCCAUCAAAAUUCUGUUUUUUUUUCUUUUCUUGUUGAAAUAGACACGCAAAAGCAACUACUGUGACAUUAUGGUUCAGGAGAAAUAUUACAUGCCAAUUGGGAUAAAA